CUAGAAGCUGCUGGUAGAUGACAGAAUGGAAAACCCAGUGAGCCAAGUGUAUGCUCUCUCUUCCAUCUCUCUCUUCCAUAACCAUCACAGGGUCCUUGUUACAGCACAAGGCUGUGGAUGCCAGUCUGGCUGGUUGGACUCGGCUCAACUUGCGGGUUCCCUGCUCCUUUACAGAGAGUUUUACUGCAUCAGUCAGCACCUGCCAAUCGACUACUGUACUGCAAACUAGUCUCCUGAGGUUCUACAGAUGCCUGCAUCACAAAAAUGUCAGCUCUCCUCAUCCUUACUGAAGAGCACUGAUGAGGAGAGACUAAGCGGAGACAGAGGAAUCUAGGUUGGGAAUCUAAGAUACAGGACCCCAGGACGCUAGGGGACCCCAGACCAAAAAUAAAAAUAUAUAUAAUUUGUUUUUUUGCAGUAACUCAGUCAGGUCUGAACUUAUUGUUUCGAGUUAGAAUAGUAGAGUACACAAGGUGCAAGUUGUGCACCACCAAAUUGUUUCUUGUUAUGUCAGUCACUCAAUUAGCCAUGUCAGCCAACACUUUUUAGAUAAGUACGUUAGCCUGGCCAGCUAUCUAACCAGUAACAAUGGCAGAAUACUGACCACUCACGCAGGGCACGUGCCCAGAGGGCCCCCAUUGAUUUUGAUAGUCACUCUCACUCAGAUAUCAUUAACAUGGCAUAAAUCACAGAAAAAUAUGUGGAAUUGUAAGAAAUGAACUGUAAAACUGCAACAACAAAAAUCUCUGCCCCAUGGCAAAAUGUGUAUGAGCCCUUUAGGUAUCCAAAAAAAUUAUAUAAAAUAAUCUGAUAAAUGUUGAAUUUGGCAUUUACUGCUAUAGCCCAUAGAAACUAAUUGAAUAACACAUUCAUAAAUUGCAAGAAAUAUAGAAAAAUAAAUCAUAAGGAAUAAG
rnacentral:lncRNA from 13 species